rnacentral:rRNA from 1 species
AGCGAACGCUGGCGGCAGGCUUAACACAUGCAAGUCGAGCGGGCACUUUCGGGUGUCAGUGGCGGACGGGUGAGUAACGCGUGGGAACGUGCCCUCUGGUUCGGAAUAACUCAGGGAAACUUGAGCUAAUACCGGAUACGCCCUUUUGGGGAAAGGCUUGCUGCCGGAGGAUCGGCCCGCGUCUGAUUAGCUAGUUGGUGAGGUAACGGCUCACCAAGGCGACGAUCAGUAGCUGGUCUGAGAGGAUGAUCAGCCACACUGGGACUGAGACACGGCCCAGACUCCUACGGGAGGCAGCAGUGGGGAAUAUUGGACAAUGGGCGCAAGCCUGAUCCAGCCAUGCCGCGUGAGUGAUCAAGGCCUUAGGGUUGUAAAGCUCUUUUAUCCGGGACGAUAAUGACGGUACCGGAGGAAUAAGCCCCGGCUAACUUCGUG